AUUGAACGCUGGCGGCAUGCUUUACACAUGCCAGUCGAACGGCAGCGCGGGCUUCGGCCUGGCGGCGAGUGGCGAACGGGUGAGUAAUACAUCGGAACGUGCCCAGUAGUGGGGGAUAGCUCGGCGAAAGCCGGAUUAAUACCGCAUACGACCUGAGGGUGAAAGCGGGGGAUCUUCGGACCUCGCGCUAUUUGAGCGGCCGAUGGCAGAUUAGCUAGUUGGUGGGGUAAAGGCCUACCAAGGCGACGAUCUGUAGCUGGUCUGAGAGGACGACCAGCCACACUGGGACUGAGACACGGCCCAGACUCCUACGGGAGGCAGCAGUGGGGAAUUUUGGACAAUGGGCGAAAGCCUGAUCCAGCAAUGCCGCGUGUGUGAUGAAGGCCUUCGGGUUGUAAAGCACUUUUGGCGGGAACGAAAAGGACUGUGCCAAUACCACGGUUCGAUGACGGUACCCGCAGAAUAAGCACCGGCUAACUACGUG
rnacentral:rRNA from 1 species